rnacentral:rRNA from 1 species
UACGUAGGCAGCAAGCGUUGUUCGGAAUUACUGGGCGUAAAGCGCACGUAGGCGGUUUGGAAAGUCGGAUGUGAAAGCCCCGGGCUCAACCCGGGAAGUGCACUCGAUACUCCCAAGCUAGAGUAUCGGAGAGGUUGGCGGAAUUCUCGGUGUAGAGGUGAAAUUCGUAGAUAUCGAGAGGAACACCGGCGGCGAAGGCGGCCAACUGGACGAAUACUGACGCUGAGACUCGAAAGCGUGGGGAGCAAACAGG